CACGUAGGGUGCGAGCGUUGUCCGGAAUUAUUGGGCGUAAAGAGCUCGUAGGCGGUCUGUCGCGUCUGCUGUGAAAACUCAGGGCUUAACCCUGAGCUUGCAGUGGGUACGGGCAGACUAGAGUGCGGUAGGGGAGACUGGAAUUCCUGGUGUAGCGGUGAAAUGCGCAGAUAUCAGGAGGAACACCGGUGGGCGAAGGCGGGUCUCUGGGCCGUAACUGACGCUGGAGGAGCGGAAA
rnacentral:rRNA from 1 species